GGGUAAUAGCUCAGUGGUAAAGCGCAUGCUUAGCAUGCACAAGGUCCUGGGUUCAAUCCCCAGUGCCUG
rnacentral:tRNA from 1 species